rnacentral:rRNA from 1 species
GUGCAGCAGGCGCGAAUCUCUCCAAUGUGUGAACAUGAGAGGGUAUUCCAAGUUCCCUUGUUAUGCAAGGGAUUUCUUGGUCCAAGACGCCAAAGGAAUAAGAGCUGGGUAAGACCGGUGCCAGCCGCCGCAGUAACACCGGCAGCUCGAGUGGUGGCCACGUAUUAUCGGGCCUAAAGCGUUCGUAGCCGGGCAGGUAAGUGCUCUGGUAAAUCCCAUAACUUAAUUAUGGGGCUUCAGAACAUACUGCCUGCCUUGAGACCGGGAGAGGCUGGAGGUACUUUCGGGGUAGGGGUAAAAUCCUAUAAUCCCGAAGGG